CCUGCCGGAGGUCACUGCUAUCAGUGUUCGANUAAGCCAUGCAAGUCAAAUGUUCUUCGUGAACAUGGCGGACUGCUCAGUAACACGUGGAUAACCUGCCCUUAGGAUUGGCAUAACACCGGGAAACUGGUGAUAAUACCGAAUAGACCAUUUAUGCUGGAAUGCUUUUUGGUUCAAAGGCUUCGGCUGCCUAAGGAUGGAUCUGCGGCCUAUCAGGUAGUAGUGGGUGUAAUGUACCUACUAGCCUACGACGGGUACGGGUUGUGAGAGCAAGAGCCCGGAGAUGGAUUCUGAGACAUGAAUCCAGGCCCUACGGGGCGCAGCAGGCGCGAAAACUUUACAAUGCGGGAAACCGCGAUAAGGGGACACUGAGUGCCAGCAUAUUAUGUUGGCUGUCCACAUGUAUAAAAAUCAUGUGUUAGCAAGGGCCGGGCAAGACCGGUGCCAGCCGCCGCGGUAACACCGGCGGCCCGAGUGGUGAUCACUUUUAUUGGGUCUAAAGGGUCCGUAGCCGGUUUAAUCAGUCUUCUGGGAAAUCUGACAGCUCAACUGUUAGGCUUUCAGGGGAUACUGUUAGACUUGGGACCGGGAGAGGUAAGAGGUACUACAGGGGUAGGAGUGAAAUCUUGUAAUCCCUGUGGGACCACCAGUGGCGAAGGCGUCUUACCAGAACGGGUCCGACGGUGAGGGACGAAAGCUGGGGGCACGAACCGGAUUAGAUACCCGGGUAGUCCCAGCCGUAAACGAUGUUCGCUAGGUGUCAGGGACGGUGCGACCGUUUCUGGUGCCGUAGGGAAGCCGUGAAGCGAACCACCUGGGAAGUACGGCCGCAAGGCUGAAACUUAAAGGAAUUGGCGGG
rnacentral:rRNA from 1 species